UGAUCGUUUAUCAUCAGCGUGCAAGAGGUAUUUCAAGGUCUUAUUUCCAGGUUCCAUGUUUUUUAUCGUUGUAUUUGAUGUUAUUUCCUUCGACAGGCCAUUGAUAAUGUUAAUGAGAGUAUAUCUCCCAUACUUGCUCCUCAGAGAAUAUGAAAUUUCACGAAUGAACACGGUAUAUCUAUUCUUGAUGAGGAGUUUUAUCUUUAGCAUCAAAGCUAGUAGUGAACACUUACUUAUAAGAUCUGGAACGAAUCCUAUUUUGAAAAUAUUAUAGAAGACCUUUUCAGGAAUGGGUCCUAGUGGAGUACCUAAAAACAUUCGAAAGGUAGCCCGAAAAGCCCUGGAGAUUUCAAUUGACUAUCAUAUUCUCAGCUCUUUGAAUAUUUUGGAGGAUUUGCAUGCUAUUUAUCGAAAUUCCUCUAUGUGACAUUCCUUAUUGGCUUGAGCGUAAAUAAAGAUAUUGAAACUCUGAAAUAGUUCAAGUUGGAAUAAAGAGCACCUGAGAUGAUACCCCCAAAUGCAUACAAAACCGAGUUAACAAUUAGACCCUCGAGUCGGAGUUUCAAUCAGUCAAUGUUUCAUUCUUCAGUAGUUAACACCACUAAAGCCAUGCCUCCAGUUCCAAAUAAU
rnacentral:lncRNA from 1 species